AAGUCGUAACAAGGUUUCCGUAGGUGAACCUGCGGAAGGAUCAUUAGUAAGGGGAAACCCCACAGAUUUUUCUAUACUUCAAAUCUUGAUGAUAAUAUAUUUAUUUCGCUUGAAAUAAAAAUAAGUAAACAAAUAAAACUUUUAACAAUGGAUCUCUUGGCUCUC
rnacentral:misc_RNA from 1 species